rnacentral:rRNA from 1 species
GACGAACGCUGGCGGCGUGCCUAAUACAUGCAAGUAGAACGCUGAAGGAGGAGCUUGCUUCUCCGGAUGAGUUGCGAACGGGUGAGUAACGCGUAGGUAACCUGCCUGGUAGCGGGGGAUAACUAUUGGAAACGAUAGCUAAUACCGCAUAAGAGUAGAUGUCGCAUGACAUUUGCUUAAAAGGUGCAACUGCACCACUACCAGAUGGACCUGCGUUGUAUUAGCUAGUUGGUGAGGUAACGGCUCACCAAGGCAACGAUACAUAGCCGACCUGAGAGGGGGAUCGGCCACACUGGGACUUGGACACGGCCCAGACUUCUACGGGAGGCAGCAGUAGGCAAUCUUCGGCAAUGGACGGAAGUCUGACCGGGCAACGCCGCGUGAGUGAAGAAGGUUUUCGGAUCGUAAAGCUCUGUUGUAAGAGAAGAACGAGUGUGGGAGUGGAAAGUUCACACUGUGACGGUAUCUUACCAGAAAGGGACGGCUAACUACGUG